rnacentral:lncRNA from 1 species
CAAAGGCCCUGAGGUGGAAAAGGGCUUAGCACGUUCCAGGAACUAAAAGGAGGCAGGCACCAGUGAUGGGGGGAGGAGCAGCAUGAUGGGCAGUGAAAACCACAGAGGUAGGUAAGAGCAUCCUGCAGGACUUCGUAGGAAAUGUCAAGGAUUUUGAAAUUUACCCUAAAGGCCAUGGUGUGCCAUGGUAAGGACUAUAGGUAGAGAUGAGACAUUGCUUUAGUCUGGUUUCCCUCAGAAGAAGACCAAGUUGAUUUGGGAGGUAGUAUAAAAAAGCAUCAACAGAGAAGUGAAGGAUUGAGGCAAGUAAGGGAAGAAGUCUAAUAAAGGAUAAUUCAAAUUUCACUGUGGACAACUGGAACUUAUGUCCUCUGGGGAUCGCAGGGGGCCAUUCUAGACUAUGCCCCCAGAUUAUCCCACUUGAGGUAUCCAAGAACUGGGGUAUUUAUUCACCUUAUCAUGCCAGCCAUUGCUUGGGGUCUGUUGGAGGAAGAGGAAGUAUCUGUGGGGUGAUGAGUAGGCAAAGCAGCUACGUGACCAGAGAAAACUUUCUAGCAAAAAAAAAAAAAAAUGUGGAAUGGGCGUUGGAAGUCAGGUUGGUGAACCCUGAAGCCCUGGAUGAGGACCGAUGGCAGAUAGUUCACUUUAUUUUUUUCAGUGAAUAAACCAGAAGGACAAGAAAGUGGGAGACUAAUUCAGAAACUGUUUCAUAGAGGUGUUGGUGGUAUAGAGCUUAGCAUAGCUGCCUUUCAGAGAGUGUGCUGUGGUCCAGGUGAUGAUGGGGAAGACAGAGACCUGGACAAAAUGGUGCCUGAUGGAGAUGGAGAGAAGAAGUGGAUUUGGGGUUCAUGUGGGUAUGGCAUUAAUAUCUUGAUAUGCUGGUUUAGAUGUAGGGCAUGAGGAAGAAGGAGAAUUCAAGAAUCCUUUCUAGCUUGAAUAUCUGAGCAAGUGAUGAUACAAUUUAGCAAAGUGGGAAAACUGGGAGAAGGUUGGGUUUGGGUCAUGUAUUAUAAAUGAAAUCAGCUGGCAUCCUUGUGUAACUUUUUCUUGCAGCACUGAGCUGGAACUGAGAAGGUGGCUCUUAGGUUUCAUUCAUAGGUGAAGGUUUGGCAGGUGUGUUUAACAGGGGACAGCGGGCAGGGGAGUUGAAAGCAUUUGGAAGGGAGUGGAAAGUAUGUCAACCAAGAUCUAGGGACAGUGACGCAACAGGGGAGUUACCAGAAAAAGUAAGCUGGAAGAAUAGGCAUGUGUAGUCUGAUUCACCUUGGUAUCUGUGGCACGUAGUAAAAGCUAGGUGAAUAUUUGUACUUAAAGUG